AAACGCCCGGGAAUUACGAGCGCAAGCUUAAAACCCAAAGGACUUGACGGUGUCCCACCCACCUAGAGGAGCCUGUUCUAUAAUCGAUGAUCCACGUUAUACCUCACCAUUUUUUGCCCCUCCAGCCUGUAUACCUCCGUCGACAGCUCACCAUCUGAAUGCUAAUAAGUAAGCUCAAUGGUCUAUACACCAACACGUCAGGUCAAGGUGCAGCCUAUAAAAUGGAAAGCAAUGGGCUACAAUUUCUACCAUAGAAUAAACGAAAAACUACAUGAAACAUAGGCAUGAAGGCGGAUUUAGCAGUAAAAGAAGAACAGUAAACUUCUUUUAACAAGGCUCUGGGACGUGUACAAACCGCCCGUCACCCUCUUCAACAGCACUCUCCCUAGUAUUUAACAUCUAACUAGCAUCUUAGAAGAGGCAAGUCGUAACACGGUAAGUGUACUGGAAAGUGCACUUGGUUAAACAAAGUGUAGCUUAACUAAAGCCUCUCGCUUACACCGAAAAAAUAUCUGUUUAACCCAGAUCACUUUGAGCUAUCAAUCCAGCCUAUACCAUUAUCUAUACAAACAACUACAAAUCAAAAUAUAACAAAACAUUUUAACUGUCUAGUAAAGGUGAU
rnacentral:rRNA from 1 species